CCUAGCGGCGGACGGGUGAGUAAUGCGUAGGAAGCUACCCGGUAGAGGGGGAUACCAGUUGGAAACGACUGUUAAUACCGCAUAAUGUCUACGGACCAAAGUGUGGGACCUUCGGGCCACAUGCUAUCGGAUGCGCCUACGUGGGAUUAGCUAGUUGGUGGGGUAAUGGCUCACCAAGGCGACGAUCCCUAGCUGGUUUGAGAGGAUGAUCAGCCACACUGGAACUGAGACACGGUCCAGACUCCUACGGGAGGCAGCAGUGGGGAAUAUUGGACAAUGGGCGCAAGCCUGAUCCAGCCAUGCCGCGUGUGUGAAGAAGGCCUUCGGGUUGUAAAGCACUUUCAGCGAGGAGGAAGAGGUGAGUGUUAAUAGUACUCAUCUUUGACGUUACUCGCAGAAGAAGCACCGGCUAACUCUGUGCCAGCAGCCGCGGUAAUACAGAGGGUGCAAGCGUUAAUCGGAAUUACUGGGCGUAAAGCGCACGUAGGCGGUUUUUUAAGUCAGAUGUGAAAGCCCCGGGCUCAACCUGGGAAUUGCAUUUGAAACUGGAAAACUAGAGUGUGUGAGAGGGGGGUAGAAUUCCAAGUGUAGCGGUGAAAUGCGUAGAGAUUUGGAGGAAUACCAGUGGCGAANGCGGCCCCCUGNCACAACACUGACGCUCNNUGCGAAAGCGUGGGGAGCAAACAGGAUUAGAUACCCUGNAGUCCACGCCGUAAACGAUGUCUACUAGCUGUUCGUGACCUUGUGUCGUGAGUAGCGCAGCUAACGCAUUAAGUAGACCNGCCNGGGGAGUACGGUCGCAAGAUUAAAACUCAAAUGAAUUGACGGGGGCCCGCACNANCGG
rnacentral:rRNA from 1 species